rnacentral:tRNA from 1 species
GCCCGGGUGGUGGAACGGUAGACACGGCGGACUUAAAAUCCGCGGGCGCAAGCCGUGCAGGUUCGAGUCCUGCCCCGGGCACCA